GACGAACGCUGGCGGCGUGCUUAACACAUGCAAGUCGAGCGGUAAGGCCCUUUCGGGGGUACACGAGCGGCGAACGGGUGAGUAACACGUGGGUGACCUGCCCUCAGCUCUGGGAUAAGCCUGGGAAACUGGGUCUAAUACUGGAUAUGACUCCACGGUGCAUGUCGUGGGGUGGAAAGCCUUGUGCGGCUGAGGAUGGGCCCGCGGCCUAUCAGCUUGUUGGUGGGGUGANGGCCUACCAAGGCGACGACGGGUAGCCGGCCUGAGAGGGCGACCGGCCACACUGGGACUGAGACACGGCCCAGACUCCUACGGGAGGCAGCAGUGGGGAAUCUUGCGCAACGGGCGAAAGCCUGACGCAGCGACGCCGCGUGAGGGAUGACGGCCU
rnacentral:rRNA from 1 species